AUAGAAACUUUGUGAAAGUGACGUGUCAAAAUAAAAGCUCCAAGUGAAAGUGGCAUGUCAAAGUGACGUGUCAAAAUAAAAGCUCCAGGUGAAAGUGGUGUCAAAAUAAAAGCUCCAGGUGAAAGUGAUGUCAAAAUAAAAGCUCCAGGUGAAAGUGAUGUCAAAAUAAAAGCUCCAGGUCAAAGUGACGUGUCAAAAUAAAAGUUCUAAGUGAAAGUGACGUGUCAAAAUAAAAGCUCCAGGUCAAAGUGACGUGUCAAAAUAAAAGCUCCAAGUGAAAGUGACGUGUCAAAAUAAAAGCUCCAAGUGAAAGUGACGUGUCAAAAUAAAAGCUCCAGGUCAAAGUGACGUGUCAAAAUAAAAGCUCCAAGUGAAAGUGACGUGUCAAAAUAAAAGCUCCAAGUGAAAGUGACGUGUCAAAAUAAAAGCUCCAGGUCAAAGUGACGUGUCAAAAUAAAAGCUCCAGGUCAAAGUGACGUGUCAAAAUAAAAGCUCCAGGUGAAAGUGACGUGUCAAAAUAAAAGCUCCAGGUGAAAGUGACGUGUCAAAAUAAAAGCACCAGGUCAAAGUGACUGUCAAAAUAAAAGCUUCAGGUCAAAGUGAUGUCAAA